GUCUCUGGAGAGUUCAGUCCGACAGUGAACUAUAAAGUGAAAGAGAGAUUCUUUUACUGUUCUUAACAAUUUGUUAAUCUGAUAGAGGAAUGAAGAAAAGGUUGGGUUAUUUAAAUUGGGCUAUCGUGAGAUUUCUUUCUUUAUAUUCUCUUUGUUGUUGAAAUUGAUGCUUUCAAAUGAUUCAAGGUGGUGGUCAAGCUUUGCUACGGGAAAGAAAGAAAUAUAUACUGUAUUGCGUGCUUUAACCUUGGAGAACAGGUGGGGGAUAAGGAAGCUUCUUUUUCCUUAGCGUAAGUUCAGAUCUUUAUAAAUAUUCCAUACAUAUUUUUAUGAUUUUAGUAUCCAAAUUUAGAUAAAUUUGGAUUUGGAUAUUGUAAUUAUUACUUAUGGACUUGAAUAAAUUUAUUAUCUAUUUUAUUUUAUUUUUUGAAAAUAUUUUCAACUCUCAUUCAUAAAAGAGGGUAAAAUGAAAUACAAAGCAAAUACAAGGUGUUCUCCAAUCACCUGACAAAAUCAGUUCUCAAACUAAAAAAAAAACCAAUAAAUAACGUUUAGAAAGAGAGCAAAAAAGAAAUGAAUUUUCUCACAGCUAAAACAAAUCAGGAAAAAAAAAAACAAAACCCUCUCAAUGUCUAUUGAAGCUGAAGAGCCAGAUCAGAAAAAUCCCCAACUUAAAAGAAAAGCAAGAACACUGAAAAACUCAGAUCAAAGAAGCCAAAAGGGAGAACAAUUUCGAAUCUUGCAACCAAGAUGUUGUGUGACAACAUUCCCACUACCCACAUGCAAGAAACAAAAUCGGACCAAGGAAGCAGAAGAAAAGCAAAACAAACUAUUCUGCUUGGAGAAAAUGUCGAUCUUCUUCCAGAAGUCGAUAAAUCUGCUUCAGGCCGUCCUCCACCCAAAAGGUUUUUUCUCCACAAUCCUUACCUAACCUUGCCAAGAGAUUAACGACCAUAUUCCUUUGUCUUGGAGUAAACACAAAAUCACAAUAUUGAAAAAAUUCUCAUGUGUCUAAUACAUAAUGAGACUAAUAGGAAAGAGAUCAAGAUAGUUAGACAGCCACCUUAUCAAGUCCCAAAUCUCGAGCAAAAGCCAUGGAUUGAAGACAAGCCAAAGCCUCUGUAGCAAAUGGAGUAGGGACAUUUACAUUAAGGACGAUACUACCCAUUACAAGCCCUCUCCCAUUUCUUAUUACAACCCCAGUACUGGAUUUGUUGGUAUUUUUACAAAAACUUGCAUCGAAAUUGACCUUCAGGAUAGGAUCUUUAGGGGGUUUCCAUCGAUUCAAAUGUUUCUUCAUGGGACGAUCCAUCCUGCUCUGAAGCAUCGAGAGUUCCAAACAGUACCCCUCGACAAAAAUAAGCAAAUCAUCCCCAGUCUGGAAGAUACUGCCAGAAAGACUUUUUACAUCAGAGACCUGAGUCGCAUCCCAUCAAAACCCAACUUCCCAAACACGUUAUACACAAAUAGACAGGCACAGAUAGCAUUGAAGACAUUCUCCACCCCUACACCACAACGAGAACAAACCGGAUCAGAAGCUACCCUUUUAAUACAAAGAUUAUGCCUAGAGGGAAUGUAAUUUUUGAGAAAUCUCCAGUUAGCAAUUUUAAUCUUCUAAGGCACCUGUAAUUGCCAAAUAUUACUGUAAAGUGUUUUAUCAGUAAGCUGUAUUUCUGUACCA